rnacentral:rRNA from 1 species
CCUACGGGUGGCAGCAGUGGGGAAUAUUGCACAAUGGGGGAAACCCUGAUGCAGCGACGCCGCGUGAGUGAAGAAGCGUUUCGGCGCGUAAAGCUCUGUCAGCGGGGAAGAAACACGGUUCGCGCGAGCCCCCUCCUGUACCCGACCAAGAAGCCGCUGCUAACUACGUGCCAGCAGCCGCGGUAAUACGGAGGGGUCAAGCGUUAUCCGGAUUCACUGGGUGUAAAGGGAGCGUAGACGGCGAGACAAGUCUGGAGUGAAAGGCCGGGGCCCAACCCCGGGACUGCUCUUGAAACUGCGUGGCUGGAGUACAGGAGAGGUAAGCGGAAUUCCUAGUGUAGCGGUGAAAUGCGUAGAUAUUAGGAGGAACACCAGUGGCGAAGGCGGCUUACUGGACUGUAACUGACGUUGAGGCUCGAAAGCGUGGGGAGCAAACAGGAUUAGAUACCCGAGUAGUC